rnacentral:rRNA from 1 species
ACAUGCCUGCAAAAUAGCAUUAAUGCACUGAAUCCCAUUAUAACUCUGCAGUUAAGUGCGCUCAGAGUAGAGUAGUAUUGGGAUGGGUGACUGCCCAAGAAGUCCUAGAGUUUUACAUGCC